rnacentral:rRNA from 1 species
CCCUUAGAGUUUGAUCAUGGCUCAGAACGAACGCUGGCGGCAUGCCUAACACAUGCAAGUCGAACGAAGGCCCUAGCUUGCUAGGUGUCCCUAGUGGCGAACGGGUGAGUAACGCGUGGGAAUCUGCCAUAGAGUGGGGAACAACUUUUGGAAACGAAAGCUAAUACCGCAUACGCCCUCCGGGGGAAAGGCUUCGGCCGCUCUUUGAUGAUCCCGCGUCUGAUUAGCUUGUUGGUAGGGUAACGGCUUACCAAGGCGACGAUCAGUAGCUGGUCUGAGAGGAUGAUCAGCCACACUGGGACUGAGACACGGCCCAGACUCCUACGGGAGGCAGCAGUGGGGAAUAUUGGACAAUGGGGGAAACCCUGAUCCAGCAAUGCCGCGUGAGUGAAGAAGGCCUUAGGGUUGUAAAACUCUUUCGCCGGUGAAGAUGAUGACUGUAGCCGGUAAAGAAGCCCCGGCUAACUCCGUGCCAGCAGCCGCGGUAAUACGGAGGGGGCUAGCGUUGUUCGGAUUUACUGGGCGUAAAGCGCACGUAGGCGGCAUAUUAAGUUAGAGGUGAAAGGCCUGGGCUCAACCUAGGAACUGCCUUUAAUACUGGUAUGCUUGAGUUCGGAAGAGGGUAGUGGAAUUCCAAGUGUAGAGGUGAAAUUCGUAGAUAUUUGGAAGAACACCGGUGGCGAAGGCGGCUACCUGGUCCGAUACUGACGC